ensembl:lncRNA
GUUGUCACAGAGCUCUAAGCUAACACUGAUAGUAAGUGAAGACUUGUUCCAUCUGACCUUCUGAUUUGGCCCGCAGUCCCCUGUAGGAAUACUCACUUUCUAUUAAAAGAACCAGAACCCUGUGCGUCAGACAAACCGAGGAACCCGAGUGAGGAAGGAAGCAUAGACCUUUCCAGCAAGAUUUUGAAUGGAGCUUUGAGAUGAAGAAAACGGACAAACAUGAAAUACUUAUGAAGACAGAGGUUGUCACCGCUACAAAAGGGAGAAGUGUUUGACAGGGCAGGCAGGCGUCGGGAUCGGAGGCUCCGAGUCGGUUCUGCACAGUGCCAGGAGGGCAGGGGAACUCUCGUCCUAGAGACAUCCCCGGAGGACAGUAGUAUCCAGCGGGACAUAAGGAAGGCUGUAUAGUACCUUUAACUGAGCCACAACAAGAAUAAACACAUAUCAUAUUGAAAGCGAACAAUUAAAUGAGAAACCAUUGGGCCCAGUGCCGUAAAAUGAAUUACAAUCAAUAAAUGUAAGUUAUUGAAAAUUGAAUGUGAAGAAAAAGUCUCUCUUAGAAAUUGUUUCCUACCUUGACAGUAGUACCCAGGUGUGCAUGUAGUGCAAUUGUCUUGAUGUAUGUUUCCUGUUUCAGAGCUAAAUGUUCCUGCAGAACAAGGGAUUGGGACCAGUGUCCCUCUGGGGCAAAAGAAACCAGCAGGGCACAGAGCCGUAUCUGCUCUGCUGGAGCCCCAGUCGCAAUAAAACCCUGCCCAGCAAUCCCCUAAAGCCGGAAAAGGGGAAACCACACACUAUAUUGAAAGAUGUUAUCUUUAAAAUCCAUGAAUUCAAAAUAAACUGCAGGGGGAAUGAAAAAAACCCAACAUUCGCUUUGGGUGUGUUUUAAUCUACCUGCUGUUUGCCCCCGUUGGCAGAAUUUCCCGGGUGGACAGAGAGAUCCAGUUCUGUUGUCAGUCGGGUUGGGCACUGUGGCGCCCAUCAAACACAGAAACCCAGCAGCACACGGCCCCGAAGGCUGAACCAACCCGUCAGACCCACAAAACUGACCCGCUGGACACACAAAGCACUCACCUGUCAACACACAUCGACAGCUUUGACUUUAGUCCAAACAGAACAACAAGCUACCUGCCAGAUGCAUCAGUCGCGUCUCUCACAUGGUUGCCAGCUGCUAAGGUUUUCAAUGUGGAGGUUGAGGCCUUUUACCUGUGGAGGUGAGACCGUGGCGGGGGCUGUAGGUGCCUUUGGGGCAGGGAAAAGGGUGACUGUCUGGAUUCUCCCUGGGACAUAUGUAGCCGGCCGGGCAGGGCAGAGGGCUGGAGACUCCAGUAGGGCCUCCCAUGGUGGGGCUGCUACUCGGGUACUGGCAGUGGAACCCAGCAGGGCAGGGAUCACACUCUGUUUGGCCCGAUAAAUCCUGGAACCAGCCUGGUUCAAAGACAUUCAAACAUCUCAUUCCGGUAAGAGCCAGCCGGACAGGGUGUGGGAACGCUGCUGCCCUCUGCGCAGUAGUGGCCCGCGGGACAAACACUUCCAGAUUCACUUGACAUUGGGGCAGCAGUCUGGGAUCCCUCUAGACAGUAAAAACCUGAGAGAAAAGCCUUCAAUGAAACGUUGUGAUACCACACCUUUGAUACUGAUGUGGUUAUGCGUCAGACAAACACAAGUUGUCGUUGUUAUUUGUGACCUGGCAGGCAGGGCCCAGAGACUACCGAGAGGCCGAUCUCUGAACAGUAGAAGCCUGGAAUGCAGCUACGACACUGGGACUCCUCCACCAGCCUGCUCUGCUCACUGUGGAAAGAGUCACAUCAACCAUAAACCACUGAAAUAAUAAGGGGAUUUUCUGUCACCUGGAUAACAAUUGCUCAUUAUUACAUCACAGAAGUCACUCCUUCUCACUACCGCAAUCUGCCUUUUCAUCACACUUUUAUAUUUUCUACUGGCAAAGCAAAAGGUUAAACAAGGAAAAUCAUCCAUCUCUCUGGAUUCAAUUUUACCUUCAAACUUUAAUCCAUUACCACUACAAACAAUGUUUAGUCACCAUGUAAUGUGUUGCUGUAGUUUGGAAUUAAAAUUCAAAAUGUGUCUCAUGAAUAACUCGGUUCACGGUAAUUAGAGAUAUGGAUAUUAGCACGUUUGUAGAGAUAUUGCAGGGUGUGCACCUGAAUGUUCCUUUCGGGCAUGCUUUUGGAGAAGAAGUCCCCACGGAGCAGAAGAAGCCGGGAGGGCAUGGGAAGCCAGUCACAUUAUCGAGUGGUGAAGAUUCAGAGGCUCCGCCAACACAAACAAACCCUGCAGCACACGGCCCGCU